rnacentral:lncRNA from 10 species
CAAUUGAAUUGUUCCAUGUAGUUUUCCUUUUGAUGAUGAAGUGGAUGGAAGAGUGGGCCAUAGAUGCUUCAGGUCCUAUGUGUAUCCAGGAGUGACAGAAACUGGUUCUUCCUGGAAUCUUCUGCAUUAAACAGCUUCAAGACACAGCUUGCCCAUCAUAACAUCCCUAAUCCUUCAUUAUGUCAACAAGACCCCCAGGUGACAAGCAUGCUGAGCCACAUCUAGCACUACCUCUCCUCAGUGAAGUGACUGGGGAAGCCAAAUGGAUGAUCCACCACCUGGACAACUUCUUGAGCAACUGGUCUCAGAGAAUGCCAUUUUACCCAUCGUGUUCCGACACUAGGGGAGCCACGGGAAGAGUUUGUGGCCAAGGAAAAGGCCCAUAGACCGAGGAUCUGGCUAUGUCACCCAGGCAAGAGUGCAGUGGCAUGAUCUCGGCUCACUGCAGCCUCAACCUCCCAGGCUCAAGUGAUCCUCCCAUCUCAGCCUCCUGAGUAGCUGUGACCACAGGUGUGUGCCACCAUGCUCAGCUAAUUGUUUGUAUUUUUUGUAAAGACAGGGUUUUGCCAUAUUGCCCAGGCUGGUUCCGAACUUCGGAGAUCAAGUGAUCCACCUCUUUGGUCUCCCAAAGAGUUGGAUUAAAGGCACUGAGCCACUGUGCCUGGCAGAAGCUUUUAAUUUUGAAAUUGUUAUAUAAUUCUGAGUUUUCAGUGUUGGUUAAAAUUUUCUCUACUCCUAGAUUUUCUUACAAAAGUAUUCUCAUUACAAUUUUACAUCUAAAUUUUAAUUGUUAAUCUGAAAAAGGUAUAAUAAUGCGUUAUUUUUCUUGUGUUUCUAAGCUUUUGGACAGUUCAUAUUCAAAAUUAAAGCCAGUGCUUUUAAUCCAGAAAUACAUCACUUGAAAAUGUGUUGGAAGAUUUUUUUUAAGUAAAAACACUUACUAAUAUACUGCUUAAAAAUAUACUGCUUAAAAUAUACUAAAUAAAAAUAUACUGCUUAAAAAUAUACUAAAACAAUACAACUAAUAAACUGCUUAAAGAUAAGCUGAUUCUGUGUUUCCUAACUCUCUGGACUUCUUGUAAGAUGUAACCUGAAAUACUCUCUCUAAUAGAAGAAUCGAAUCGAAUGUGGUCUAUUUAUUUUUAGUGUGAUGAGAGGUAUUCCUGUUUUGUUAGUUUGUUUGUUUGUUUGUUUUUUGUAAUUUCAACCUUUAUUUUAGAUUCAGGGGAUACAUAUGCCGGUUUGCUACAUGGAUAUUGUGUGAUGCUGAGGUUUGGAGUACAAUUGAGCUCAUCACCCAGGAAGUGACUAUAGUACCCAGAAGUUUUUCAACCCUUGUCUGCCUCCUUCUCCCACCUCUAAUAUUCCCCAGAAUCUAUUGUUGCCUUUUUUAUGUCCAUGAGUACCCAAUGUUUUGCUCCGUCUUGUAAAUAAGAACAUGUGGUAUUUGGUUUUCUGUUCCUGAGUUAAUUUGUCUAGGAUAAUGGCCUCAAGCUGCAUCAAUGUUGUUGCAAAAGACAUGAUUUCAUUCUUUUUUAUUGCUGUGUAGUAUUCCAUGAUGUAGAUGCAGCACAUUUUCUUUACCCAGUCCACCACUGAUGGGCAUGUAGGUUGAUUCUAUGUCUUUGCUAUUGUGAAUAGUGCUGUGACGAAAAUGUGAGUGCAUCUGUCUUUUUGGUGGAACAAUUUCUUUUCUUUUGGAUAUACACUCAGUAAUGGGAUUGCUGGGUUGAAUAGUAUAAAUUGGUGCAAAAGUAAUUGCAUGUUUUGCCAUUGAAAAUCAUGGCAAAACCCUCAAUUACUUUUGCACCAACCUGAUAGUUCCAAGUUCUUUGAGAAAUCUCUGAACUGCUUUCCUCAGUGACUGAACUAGUGUGUAUUCCCACCAGCAGUGUAUAAGUACUACCUUCUCUACACAGCCUUACCAGUAUCUAUUAUUUUUUGACUUUUUAGUAAUAGCCAUUCUGACCAGUGUGAGAUGAUAUCUCAUUGUGGUUUUAAUUUGCAUUUCUCUGAUGAUUAGUGAUGUUGAUUUCUUUUAAUGCUUUUUGGCCACUUGUAUGUCUUCUCUUGAGAAAUGUUUGUUCAUGUGAUGAACUCUGAUGGAAUGCACUAUUUAUAAAUUUCUCUAUGUGUUUAAUUAAAUAUUUUGUUUUUUUGCAUUUGGGGGCUAUGUUUUUGAACACACACAAGUUCAGCUUUGUUAUAUUUUCCUAUGAAUUUUUUGUUAGCAGUAUAUAAGUAAUCCUUUUGCUUAUAUUUUAUACAUGGCAUGCAUAUUUUAUACAUGAUUGUGUUAGGCCAUUCUAGCAUUGCUAUAAAAGAAUACUCAAGAUGGGGUAAUUUGUAAAGAAAAGAGGUUUAAUUGGCUCUCAGUUCUGCAGGCUGUACAAGAAGUGUGGCACCAGCAUCUGCUUCUGGUAAGGGCCUCAGGGAGAUUUUACUCAUGACAGAAGGCAAAGGAGGAGCAGACACAUUCACAUGGCAAGGGCAGGAGUGAGAGAGGGAGCAAGGGCAACAACUGACUCUUGAGUGAACUCAUUACUGUACGGAUGGAACCAAGCCGUUCAUGAAGGAUCCACUCUCUUGACCCAAACACCUCCCACCAGGCCCCAUCUCCAACACUGGGGAUUACAUUUCAACAUGAGAUUUGGAUUAUUCAUGAUGUAUCCCUUCUUUCUUUACUUUAAGUUUAUUACUUAUCUUACAUGAUUUUCUCAAAUCUUUAUUGUUUAUUAUUUCUGUGGGUUGAUCAAAUUUGUAUUCAAUUUAUGUUUUUAAUGACCUUGUUUUAGAAUUUCUGAUGAUGUAAUUUUACAUUUCAUCAAUGGCUGACUUUUCUUUCUUUGCUCACAUGAUCAAUCAAAAAUAACCCAAACAUGUCCCCCUAAAUUUCAGUUUACCAUUUAAUAUGCUCUAAUUUUUCCUUAUUUUUCUGCCAUCCCAAUAUCAUAAGAAUGUUAGAAAACUUUCACCAUCCUUUUCCUAUAACUUUUCUUCCUACCCCCAUGAGAACUUUAGAAUGUUUUACUUCAUCUUCUCUUUGUCCACUCCACCCUAACUUACAUCAAGAAUUUAGGGAGUUGUGCCAUAUUUUUAUCCUCUGUAACAGUUUUUUCAGAUAGGUAUUAUAUGUUACCCGAAGAUUACAUAUAAUUUGCCAAGAAAAACAUUGUUGUCUGGUGUUUUUCAGGACUAUUUCUUUCUCUUUUCUUUGUUAAUGAUAAGUGGAUUUAAAAAUACAAAUUUAGUUUUUUAAAGUUAAAUUAAUAUUUUUCCAAUAAAUUAUUUAAGUGUUAUCUCAGUAUUAAAAUUUACCAAAGAUAAAAUUAUUCAUGUAUUCUUCUGUGGUUAAAAAAAUCUCUAUUAUAAAUAUAAUGCCCACUUUUCACCAAUCACUUUUAUCAGAGGUUUGUUCAUCUUCGUAGACAACGUUUGGGGUUUGCAUUUGUUGGCUGGUCCUAUAUAUUUUGUUUUGUUUACUUUCUUUUUCUCUUGUCAAUAUUUUCUUUCUCCUACAUUUAGGUUUGUUUUGUUUCUUAACUAUGAGUUGUUGAUUACUCAUUGUUUUCAUCCUUUCUUUUCAUGUUAGUAUUUAACAUUAUACCUUUUACUAUGGACAGUUUUGUAGCUGCAGGUUACAUUUUUUUAAUAUAGUAUGGUCAUCAUUGUUAUGUUCUAGUUUCUAAUGUACGUUUUAAUUUUUUCUUAGAGUCAAAAUAAUCUGGAAGAGGGUUUUGAUACUGAUAUAUAUUAAAUUAAUAUAUAUAAAUGAUUAUAUUAUUUGAUAAAACUUACUGUGAAUUAUUAAGUGUUCAAUAUUUAUAUAUAUUCCAUGUGUGUUUGUAAAGACUGUGUACCCUCAAUUACUGGGUGCAGAGUUGUGCAUCUGUUCAUUAGAUAAAGCUUAUAAAUCAUAUUUUUCAAAUAAUAUAGGUUCAUAUCAAUUAAUUACUGGAAGAGGUAGGCUAAAAUGUCCAACUCUGAUGGAAUUUCUCUAUGUGUUUAAAUAUUUUGUUUUUGCAUUUGGGGGCUAUGUUUUUAAGCUCAUACAAGUUCAUCUUUGUCGUAUUUUCCUAUAAAUUUUUCCUGUUAGCAAUAUAUAAGUAAUCCUUUUGCUUAUCAUUAUGCUGCUGGAAUGUAUAUUUUAUUAAUAAGGCUUUAUUUAUUUAUUUAUUUAUUUUUGAGACAGAGCCUCACUCUGUCACCCAGGCUAGAGUGCAGUGGCACGAUCUCAGCUCACUGCAAGCUCCACCUCCCGGGUUCACGCCAUUCUCCCACCUCAGCCUCCCAAGUAGCUGGGACUACAGGUGCCUGCCACCACGCCUGGCUAAUUUUUUUUGUAUUUUUAGUAGAGACGGGGUUUCACCAUAUUAGCCAGGAUGGUCUCGAUCUCCUGACCCCAUGAUCUGCCUGCCUUGGCCUCCCAAAGUGUUGGGAUUACAGGUGUGAGCCACUGCACCCGGCCAAUAAGGCUUCAAUAGCUUUGCUUGGUAGUCUUUUUUUUAGUCUAUCAUUCUCUAUCUCUUUAUUAUAUUCAAUGUAUUUUGAUGUGUCUCUUAUAAACAUUGCAAGGAUUUGUUAAAAAUCUUAUCAAACAGGAAUGACUUUCACUUUUACCCAUACAAAACAUAAAGCUAAAAGAUUGGACAAAAUAUGUGAAGCAAUGAUUUCCAGACAGUGGACUUUGGACAUUGACAGUGCAAGCCUUUAAUCCCUAACAGAAGAGAAUCUCACGAGAUGACUCUCACUUCAUGCUAGCUCUGUGCCUGGAGAAAAUUUUCUGAGCACAAAGAGGUAGAAUGCAACCAGAAAGAAAACUGUGGCCCUACUGAACUGAGGAAGAAGAGGUCAGAGUUCUGGAAUCAGAAAGAGCAAGUAGGAAGGGUGCUGCACCUAAGGACUCUAGAUCCUUGGUUUGGGACUGGGCCUCACACAUGUAAUGUGAGGCUCUUGAGACUGAGGAGGACUGCUGUUCGGUCAGGAUCAGAAGGAAUAUGCUAGAGUUCAAGCCACCAUGCAAGAUCCGUGAGCAACUCCUUAGGUGAAUUGUGAAAGACAGCCAGGGCCUAUAUUUGGAGUGCAAGGGUUCUGGAAGUUUCUGUAUGUCCUGGAAGUAAUGUGGAUGUGGUAAGAGAACUGGAAAAGAGCAGAGAUCAGGAAGCAGAGGCUGAAGAGUGAGAAGAACACCAGCACUAGAGGCCACCACUGGGAGGUCAGCAGGGGAGAAGUACAGAACCUGAGAGAACAGAUGAAUUCAGCAGUGCUUCAUGGUAUGAACACAGGCUCAGCAUGUUUGUGACCAACUGGGUCCAUCCAGACCACAGCAGGGGCCACCAGGACAGGGGAGGGUGGCAGACCAGGUGCUACUUCAUGCAACAGGUCACUGAGCCUGCUUGAGACAUUAUAUCUGAGAAGACAAGUAGAAAGAAGAAAAAGGUGAAGACUGUGUAUGUAUUUAAUAGGCACUUAUUUAACCAGGGAGAUGAGUGUAGAAUUUAAUUGGAGAAACUAAUGAAUGUAAAAUGGCAAGCAAAAGAGGCAGAAGGCCCUGUGAGGUGGUCCUAAUGAGUCAGUCCAGUUGAGUUAUAGAGAAAUAAAUUUACCAUUUUCUGAAUCAGAAUCAGAGUGGGUCCACUUUGACCUCUCCACUCUGGAUUGCCUCUAAUCAACUCUGUAUUUCAUGGUAUGGUACCCAGAUUUUUGUUGUUAACAAUAGGGACUCUCUGGAAGUUUUCUAUUUUAACUAUUUUUUUUUAUUGAGGUGUAAUUUAACUUAGAUGUUAAAUUUCAGAAUUAAUAAAACUUCAUUCACUAACAUCUGUAUGCCUUAUAAACGUGGAUGCUUGGGGCAAAGCCCCACUUGCUCCAUCAUAAUUACAUGGGCAGAAAUACGGAACAUAAGACGAGUAAAAAGGCUGGGAAGGCAACAAGAUAAAUUUUUUAAAAAUAAAAUUUUUAUUUUAGAAUAGUUUUCGAGUUACAGAAAAAUUCUAAUGGUAGCACAGAAAGCUUUCUUAUACCCUACACCCAGUUCCUUUGUUAUUAAAGUCUUAUAUUAGUGUGGUGCAUUUCUUACAAUUAAUGAACCAGUAUUAAUACAUUGUAAUUAGCUGAAGUUCAUACUUUACUCAUAUUGUCUUAAUUUUUAUUUAGCAUCCCUCUUUUUCUGUUCCGGAAUCCCACCUAGGAUAGUGGGUUUUGUUUAAUUGCCACGUCGCCUUAGUUUCCUCUCAGCUGUGACAGUUUCUCAGACUUUCCUUGUUUUUGAUGACCUUGUUAGUGUUGAGGAGUACUGGUCAGGUAUUUUGUAGAAAGUCCUUUGAUUGGAAUUUGUCUCAUAUUUUUCUCAUGAUUAGUCUAGGUAUGGGUUUCCGGAGAUCACAGGGCAGUAAGGGUACCAUGUUCAUGACAGGAUAGUAAGGGUAUAUGUGUCAAUAUGACUUAUCAUGACUUAUCACUGUUGGUGUUGAUCUUGGUCACCAGGCUGUGGCCGGGUUUGUCAGGUUUCUCCACAUAAACUUACACUCCCCCCAACUUUAUUCUGCUGUGCUCUUUGUAAGGAAGUCUCUAUGUACAGAUCACACCUAAGAAAUGGGGAAUUAUGCUCCACUUCCUUGAGGGUGACGUUUGGACCUAAAAUGAGUUCACUUUUGACACACAAAGUUUGAGAAGCCUUGGAAAUACAUAGUGGAAGCUCUCCGUGGGUGUUUAAUAUGCAAAAUUAUUGUUCCUAGAGAAAUCAGGACAGAGAAGGAGAGAGAGAGAGUAGGAAAUAAGAGCAUCUGAGAAAGAUAAUAUUCAGCAGUACCUAGAAGAGGCACCUGAAGGAGAGAGAUGAAGGGAGAAAUCUGUGGGGAAAAUGGAACAACCGGUAAUGAAGUGUCCAGGAAGCCAAGGGAAAACACACUGAAAAAGGGGAGGACAGUUAGUUAUAUAAAAUGCUGUAAUAAAUUUAUGCAUUUGGUAACUAAUAAAAGUUAAUCAUUGUCUUUUAUUAUUUAUUAGUUGUGUGCCCCUAUCUAUUAAUAAAAACGGGAGCAUACUCUUGAGCUUAUGCCCUUAUCAACUCUUAGCCAUUCCCAAGGUUGGCUUGCCCAUCCCCCCCACUAAACUCUGGUCAUGUUCUAUCCUGGCUUUGCAAUGAAUUAUUUCUUAUUGUCAUUACAAAUCAGAAUUUUCCAGUAUCCAAUGGAAUAAAGGCAUUCCUGCUAUAGAAAAAUGACAGCAUGUUUUUGUAAUCUUGAGUGACCUUUAUUGAAGUUAAGAGGUACUUGAGAAAAACAAUAGAAUAAGGAAAAUGCAGAGGUAUAACCAGCAUCAUACAUUUUGAGAGUGAUCCUUGGGAACUCUGCAUACAUACCACAUACACCAACAAAAAGAAAAACAAGUCCAGUGGAAAAGGCAAUGGAAAGGAGUGUGGAGAACUGUACUCUAGCUCUACCUGUAUUUGUCUUCAUGCUGCACAGUCUGUGGAGACUCUUCUCUUCUUUGGAUUUGCUGCCUCACCAAUAAAGUGAGCAGACUGGGCUACCCAGCCUCUAUAGUUCUGUUCAUUACAGCACAUGAUCUGAGGUGUAUUUUUUUUUUUUUUUUGAGACAGAGUCUCGCUCUGUCACCAGGCUGGAGUGCAGUGGCGCGAUCUUGGCUCACUGCAACCUCCGCCUCCCAGGUUCAAGCGAUUCUCCUGCCUCAGCCUCCCAAGUAGCUGGGACUACUGGCUCCCACCACCGCACCCAGCUAAUUUUGUAUUUUUAAUACAGA